AGUCACUGACAUUAGAUACCCGCGUAGUCCAGGGUGUAAACGCUGCAGACUUGGUGUUGGAAGUCCUUUGGGGGCAUUCAGUGCCGGAGAGAAGUUGUUAAGUCUGCUACUUGGGAGUACGUCCGCAAGGAUGAAACUUAAAGGAAUUGGCGGGGGAGCACAACAACGGGUGGAGCCUGCGGUUUAAUUGGACUCAACGCCGGACAACUCACCGGGGACGACAGCAAUAUGUAGGCCAGGCUGAAGACCUUGCCUGAAUCGCUG
rnacentral:rRNA from 1 species